rnacentral:rRNA from 1 species
AGAGUUUGAUCAUGGCUCAGGAUGAAUGUUGGCGGUGUGCCUGAGAUAUGCAAGUCGAACGUCUUUUUGCCGCAAGGCAGAAGGUAGUGGCGGACGGCUGAGUAACACAUAGGGACUUACCCCUUUUUGAAGGAUAGCCCAUCGAAAGGUGGGAUAAUACUUCAUGAUAUGGAUACCGUAAGGUAUUUGUUAAAGAGAUUAACUUCUCGAAAAGGGAUGGACCUGUGGCUUAUCAGAUAGUUGGUGGGGUAACGGCCUACCAAGUCUACGACGAGUAGCUGGCCUGAGAAGGUGGUCAGCCAGAGGGGGACUGAGACACGGCCCCCACUCCUACGGGAGGCAGCAAUCAGGAAUAGUCGGCAAUGGACGAAAGUCUGACCGCGCGACACCGCGUGUAGGAAUAAGCUCUAACGAGCGUAAACUACUGUGAUAGAGGAAAAAAUCCCGCCUAUGGCGGGACUGAUGGUACUCUAUAAGAAAGGGGCCGCUAACUGCGUGCCAGAAGCGUCGGUAAUACGUGGGCCCCAAACAUUAUCCGGUUUUACUGGGUGUAAAAAGUAGUGUAGGUGUCUUUCUAAGUUUUGUUUCAAAUACUGCGGCUCAACCGUAGAAAGGGGCAAAAUACUGGUUUGAUAGAGUUUGCUUUAGAGAAACUGGAACUCAGGGAGGAGUAGUGAAAUGCGUUGAUACCCUGGGGAACACCAGCGGCGAAGGCGAGUUUCUGAAAGCAGACUGACACUGAGACACGAAAGCUAGGGGAGCGA